CAGUAGCCGCGGUAAUACGUAGGUGGCAAGCGUUGUCCGGAAUUAUUGGGCGUAAAGCGCGCGCAGGUGGUUUAAUAAGUCUGAUGUGAAAGCCCACGGCUCAACCGUGGAGGGUCAUUGGAAACUGUUAAACUUGAGUGCAGGAGAGAAAAGUAGAAUCCCUAGUGUAGCGGUGAAAUGCGUAGAGAUUAGGAGGAACACCAGUGGCGAAGGCGGCUUUUUGGCCUGUAACUGACACUGAGGCGCGAAAGCGUGGGGAGCAAACAGGAUUAGAUACCCGAGUAGUCCCUGUCUCUUAUAC
rnacentral:rRNA from 1 species